CAGCAGCCGCGGUAAAACGAAGGGUGCAAGCGUUACUCGGAAUUACUGGGCGUAAAGCGUGCGUAGGUGGUGGUUUAAGUCCGUUGUGAAAGCCCUGGGCUCAACCUGGGAAUUGCAGUGGAUACUGGGUCACUAGAGUGUGGUAGAGGAUAGUGGAAUUUCCGGUGUAGCAGUGAAAUGCGUUGAGAUCGGAAAGAACACCAACGGCGAAAGCACUCUGCUGGGCCGACACUGACACUGAGAGACGAAAGCUAGGGGAGCAAAUGGGAUUAGAUACCCGUGUAGUCCCUGUCUCUUAUAC
rnacentral:rRNA from 1 species